UACGAAGGGGGCUAGCGUUGUUCGGAAUCACUGGGCGUAAAGCGCACGUAGGCGGAUUGUUAGGUCGGGGGUGAAAUCCUGAGGCUCAACCUCAGAACUGCCUUCGAUACUGGCAAUCUCGAGUCCGGAAGAGGUUGGUGGAACAGCUAGUGUAGAGGUGAAAUUCGUAGAUAUUAGCUAGAACACCAGUGGCGAAGGCGGCCAACUGGUCCGGUACUGACGCUGAGGUGCGAAAGCGUGGGGAGCAAACAGG
rnacentral:rRNA from 1 species